AGUGAACGCUGGCGGUAGGCCUAACACAUGCAAGUCGAACGGCAGCACAGUAAGAGCUUGCUCUUACGGGUGGCGAGUGGCGGACGGGUGAGGAAUACAUCGGAAUCUACUUUUUCGUGGGGGAUAACGUAGGGAAACUUACGCUAAUACCGCAUACGACCUACGGGUGAAAGCAGGAGCUCUUCGGACUUUGCGCGAUUGAAUGAGCCGAUGUCGGUUUAGCUAGUUGGCGGGGUAAAGGCCCACCAAGGCGACGAUCCGUAGCUGGUCUGAGAGGAUGAUCAGCCACACUAGAGCUGAGACGCGGUCCAGACUCCGACGGGAGGCAGCAGUGGGGAAUAUUGGACAAUGGGCGCAAGCCUGAUCCAGCCAUACCGCGUAGGUGAAGAAGGCCUUCGGGUUGUAAAGCACUUUUGUUGGGAAAGAAAAGCAGCAGGUUAAUACCCCGCUGUUCUGACGGUACCCAAAGAAUAAGCACCGGCUAACUUCGUG
rnacentral:rRNA from 1 species